rnacentral:lncRNA from 1 species
GGACCUUAUUUCCGGAAGGUCUAACGAUUUUUUUUCAGUCUAGGGUUGAUUUCCACCUCGGAAUUGCCAGGGCUUCGUCGAGUGAGGGUUCUGGUUAUUUUGAAAGGAAACGUCCAUUUCUUCAGGCCUGCCUCCUGGACAAUAACAAAAUGAUGUUGAUGGACCAGCCCCAGACCAAGAGGAAGGAAUAUCUUCAACUGCAAGCAAGAGUGCCCUUAACCUGUGGAAUCUGGCCUAGCUCAAGGUAUUAGAGUCAGCUACUGUGCCCCAUAAUAUCUCUGUCCCUUCUUAGCCUGAGCAGAGUGGAUAUCCUCCCAAAUUCCACAAGAUUGAGGAAUGAAAAUGUAACCACUGUCUAAAUGAGAUUUAUUGAUAUUGAAGUUAUUAUCUUAUGUUAACUGAGUAACAUGUAACAUUGAUAUAAAAAUAAAUUUUUAAAUAAGAAAUAUAGACAUAUGUAAAAUUAUAUGUUAGAGGCCUAUUAAAAACCUUUUUUCCAGACAGUCUAGUUACAAGCAUGUUUCAAGAUUUUAUUAUAAUCUUGCUGAAAUUGGCGAGAGGCCAAUUCCAAGAUUGACUCAGGGAAAAGAUUUUACACAAGAAAAGAAAAUGGUUAGGUAAUCAUUGUUGGCUAGCUCCAAAAGGAGAGUAUAUCUAGUGUCUGAACACGUCUCUUAACAGACAAGCU